UUACUUCACUACCUCUGCCUCGUCUUACUCUCUCUAACUCUCCCUCCUCUACGUCUUAUCUGAUCACAUUAUAUUCACGAAAGUACAUACUUAAACUUUUNCUCCUUUUCAUAUGGGAGAGCCUGUUUGCCCCUGACUGCCACCGCCUCCCCCCCCCACUUUUGUCUCACGGGUCACAAAAAUGCGAACACGACCACCCUGUAUCUUACACAACACUAAAUGAAUUAGAUACGGCGCUUCCCGGCAAAAUUACACCUUAUUCGAUCAUAUAUCUCACUGUUUACAGUCAAGCAUCAAGAGGAGGAGGAGAGGGACUUAUAAGUAUAUAGUAAGAGGUACGUUUCUAAACAAANGCAACACACAGAAUAAUUUAUCACAUUACUAAUCUAUAUCUAUUACUCUCUUGUUUUCUCGUUGGAUUGGCUUCGUUGCCCCCCGGUCUUGUAUAUAUAUAUAUAUUCUUGUACCACACAUAAUAAUACAAACAUAAUCUAUCAUCUAGUGACACACGCGAGGUCGCUGUGGGGUUACUCUCCUCGGGAGUUUUACUACAUCAAAAGAACAUACUCAUCUAUAAUCACCUCCCGUAUAAAUUUU
rnacentral:rRNA from 1 species